rnacentral:lncRNA from 1 species
CUUUGGGAGACCGAGGCUAUAACCUCAGUGCUCAGGAUAACAACCAAGCAGAGAACACUAAUAAUUUAACCCAGCAACUGAAAAUAACACCCAUAAUUUACUCCAAGCUUCCAGACUUCCCCCAGCUCUGCAAACAGUCACCAGAGGCUUCCGGAAUUUCUGUAUGCCACGGUCUCCGUGUUUACUGUUUCCUGCCUGUGAGUCUUCCCUCUGAGUUCUCCUCCUGGGGGGCCAGGAGAGGUGAGGACGGGACGAGAAAGGUCUGCUUUCCCUCACCAGCUGCCUCGAGCACCCAGUCCUGCUGCGGCUGCUGCGUGGGACUUGGAAGAGAGGAUGGUGAUGCCUGUUUUCUUUCAAGGUUCAUCAAAGCCCACUCUCUCAGACUCGCCUAAAAAACUGACCAAAUCCCGAAAGGUUUACUUCAUGGCCCAGAACAACCUCUGAUGUCACAAGCACGGAUGAAGAACAGCUAAGGCACAAUGAGUGUGUCAGGAUACCACAACCCAUUCUGGGAUUUUGUAAAGAACCCCAAGGGAGACUCUUACCCUGUCACCUCGAGCGGCACCUCUGAACGCUGGGGCACCCGCAGUGUCCUGCUCUGCCGCCCGAUGCUUCGCCACGCCACUGAGCUCGGCAGAUGCAACGUGCUCUGCAGUCUUGGACCCCUGGCUUCCUUUCUGGCCGGGCUGACUCUACUGUGGGCAUGCAGCCUUCACAGCAAGACUCCGGCCCUGGCUGGCUCCUGCCUCAAAGUCACCCAGGCACCUGGGGCUGCCCCAACAGGAACCCCAUCUAAGGGCCUUUCUCACCCUUUCUUUCCCCACACCCGUUCUCAGGCUAACCACUGCUGCACACCAGCAAUUUCUGCGGCAUCCUCUCUCACCACUGGGCCACUCAUUCCUCCCAGGCAGAUGCUGAAGAGACAUUUGGCUCUGCAGCAGAAUGGCGCACUCCUAUAUUUAGCCACAUUGUGUAAUAUGUGACAAUAAUACUUUGUACUCAGGGUACACCUUUUAUCAGAGGAACUCCAUGCAGUCUGCAAACAUCCCCAGCACAAUACCCCUGGAGUGGAAGGAACCUGCCAAGUGUUGUGAUCUCAGUCUUACGGCUGGAGAGACUGGGUCCCAGGAAGGUGGGGCACGGCCAAGGCUUCCUAAGGAGUCAAGAGCCAGAAAAGGACCAUGGGCUGCUCCCCUAAGAUCUAAGGAUCCCUGGUUACCUCCUGAAUUAUUCCCAUCACCCAAAACUGCCGUCUACUGAUCACGUAUUAUUUGAAGCAAGCACAAUCAUUCUGGGAAGUCGUGAACUACCCCUAAGUUACGUCUUUUCUAAACGUUCCUGAAGUUAAGAAGACUUUCAGCUUGGAGACUUUUGCUGUCUCCUCAAUCACGCUUGGUCAGUGGUGGCGUAUUCAGAACAUGCGUUGAAAAUAAAAAGUCACAUCGCAGCUGCCCGCUGAGGGUGGGCCUCGCAGGGCCACCAGCAGUUCACUGCUUCACUUCAGGCCCCGGAUGUAGAGAAAGCGGAGUAAAGCAACGUCAUCAAGGUUAAGAGUGAAAUUCAGCUCUGAUUUUAGAAGUUCCUAGGGAAAAAAAUCUUGUCUCUCCUCCUCCCUUGGCUCUACUUCGCUGGUGUUUUCCUGAACCUGAAAAACGUAUUUACUCUUUACGACGCC